rnacentral:rRNA from 1 species
AGCGAACGCUGGCGGCAGGCCUAACACAUGCAAGUCGAACGAAGUCUUCGGACUUAGUGGCGGACGGGUGAGUAACACGUGGGAACGUACCUUUUGGUUCGGAACAACUCAGGGAAACUUGAGCUAAUACCGGAUGAGCCCUUAGGGGGAAAGAUUUAUCGCCGAAAGAGCGGCCCGCGUUAGAUUAGCUAGUUGGUGAGGUAAAGGCUCACCAAGGCUACGAUCUAUAGCUGGUCUGAGAGGAUGAUCAGCCACACUGGGACUGAGACACGGCCCAGACUCCUACGGGAGGCAGCAGUGGGGAAUCUUGCGCAAUGGGCGAAAGCCUGACGCAGCCAUGCCGCGUGAAUGAUGAAGGUCUUAGGAUUGUAAAAUUCUUUUAUCAGGGACGAUGAUGACGGUACCUGGAGAAAAAGCCCCGGCUAACUUCGUGCCAGCCGCCGCGGUAAUAC